rnacentral:lncRNA from 1 species
AUUUAAUACAACUUGUGUCAAUUCUUUCUCUAUGUUUCUUGUAUGACUUUAGUAAUACUUGCUUUAUCUACUUCUCUUGCUUUCACUUGUUACAUCAAAGACAUGAAUUCAUCCAAAAUCAUCUGAAUCCUCUUACAAUGAUCAAUGUCACAUACAAAUUUGUAUCAACCCACAUGUGCAAAAUAGAGAAAAACUGAAAGAGGGGAAGAACAAGAGAGGCAAGAACAAGGGAGAAAUUACAAGCUCUGUCUCAUAUUCAUUCCAUCGUUGUAAAAUCCGUUCGGCCACCGUCAGUUAUUAAUCAAUAUCACCGAGCUUCUGCCGUCGAGGUUAGGAAUUAAAACACCGUCGUGCGGUUUUACAACAACGACGAAAGUUGAAAUAGAUGCAAUAUUGGGUAGCAGCCUUCUCUGGUGAGCGUCGCAAAGUAGAAGGGAGCCAUGUUUUCCGGUGACCAUCGUGAGAAGUGAGAAGAAGAGAAUAUGGUAGCAUCCAUCGUGAGAAGAAGAAGAGAAUAGGGUUUUUUUAUUUUUAAUUUUUAAAAUAAUUGAUUAUUAAAUCUGAGCCAUUCAUUUUCAUUUUUCCAUGUGUCAACUGGUUAUGAAAAGAAAAGGAGAUUGCCAUUAAU